AAGACUGCAGGUUUGGGGCCUUUGUUCCCAGGGAGAUGAGGCGAGAGGUGGACUGGGGACAAAACCCCAUCCAUUUAAAAAUGCCUGCAGCGGGGCGCUGAAGCAGAUCCGGCGUUCCGACCCUGGAACAAAGCGGACACCUACGCAAAAACGUGUGUGGUUCCAGCCUAAAUGGAGUUCCGGGACUCCAUUACCCUGGAAGGCAGAGGCCAACACAUCAACAGCACAUGAAGAUUCACGAGCCCUUAAAGAAACGUCUUCGACAUUGCAGAAUGUUCAAGGGGAGACGGACGCUUUCUCUUUCCUCCCCUCCGAUAAAAUAGGACCCCGGAGAAGCCCCCUCAUCACCCUGAGUCCUGACUAAAUAAAUCCCUUUUGGUCAGUACUUGGCCACUUAAGGGAUGAUUUUCUUCCUGGCGCCAAAGCAAGAUGGAUUUCAAACAAAAUGAUGCAAGCUGAGGCUCCCCACUUCUCCCCACCCCUCCCCCCCAUCUCGGCCCCAAAUCUACAAAUUCCCCAUCAACCUCUGCUUACUGCAGACUUUCUCCCAGGCACAUCCCAAGAAAAGCGUCCAUGGUGAGACCAGUGUUUGCCGACAGCCUCAGGGAGCUGCACACAUGGCGC
rnacentral:lncRNA from 1 species